GUUGUGGGGCCUUCCAUAGGCUUCUGCAAGGCAUCCGGAGGCUCCUGGAAAAGCCCGGCUUUGCUGUCCUUUGCUACUUGCUGGAAGGAAUGUGCUCUUUCUUGUGCCUCAGGUUGAAGGGACUGCGGCUGGAAGCUUUGGAAAAGAUGGGAAAAAAAACGUCCAGAGCACAGACACUCAAAAGCUUGCUUACGAUUUGAGGGGCUUACAAGCCCAGGAAGCUGACACAAGGACCUUGUGCUUAGAGGCCCUGUUUGAAGAGCAGGAGGCAGCUGCUGGGCCUGCGCUGAUGGAUCCAUCACAGGGAGAGAGCAGAUGAACAUUUCUGGACCUGCUGCGGGGAGAGGGAGGCUGAGGCUGGGAUACCAGGAAACGGGUGCCUGCCAGCUGGCCAGGGCCUUGGAAGCUCAGGGCUCUCCGAGGUGGAGUGGACGUGGUGGACGAGGGCCCCAGGAGCUCAAAGGGAUGACAUCACCCGCCUGAGGGCUCCAGCCUGGACCGGCUUUGGCUUCAGUAGUAGGAAGCUGGCACCCAGGGGCUCCAGGACUUCCCGGCUUGCUUCACAUCUCCUGAAUCCCACUCAGCUCUGCAGGUCUCUGCUUUGGGGUCCCAGAGCCAGCACCUGGCUAUUCAGAUGUCCAAGUCUGGGACUCAGUUCUUCCACCAAAGACCAAGCCUGGGGCAGCUGGCCCAGGAGCUCCUCCCCCAGCCUGCCCCUGGCUGCCCUGCGGUUCUGAAGCUCCACGCAGAGGAAGUGGAUCCCCAGCUCCGGCCAGGCAGCAGUCAGCUGCAGCAAACCCACCGUCCCCCUGCCGCGGGUCCACGUCCCCCAACCUACUGAGUGCGCGUCGCCUGCUUGUGGAGCAUAUGCUUGGCUGGUUGCUUGGUGUCUGCUGUUUAUCCGUCUCUUCCCACUUAACUUCUGUUCCCGCCUGGCCCAUCUGGCUCCCUGGUACCUGUCUUUCCCUCGGGCGCAUCCACUCCACCCCCCCGCCACCACUGUCUUCCCUCCACCACUUGCCUCCCGGGAACUGGCUCUUGUCCAUUCUGGGACUGCUGCGGGAGCACUUGACCUUGGGUGUAGGGGCAGCAAGGGAUGUCUGGGUCACAGCAGUGCUCAGGAUUCCCUUGGGGAGGGAGGUUGAGGUGGGUAGUGGAGGGCAGCAUAGGCAGGGCCUUGGACCUGGAUGAGGGUUGAGUCUGGUGGACACCCCGUCUCCCAGGUCCUUCUGAGCCACUGUCCUCCACAGGGCUUUCUUAGGGUGGGGGCAUUAGUUACUACUCUCUGUCCCCAGCAGAAGCAGUGGGAAAGUGACCCAUGAGAAGCAGCAGAAGGGAAGGAGCCCAGGGCGGAGCAGGGGCGGGGGGGGGGGGCAAGGCUCUUCUGACCCAGAACCCUGGGGGCACACUGGCUCCUUCCUGCUGAGCAGGACCGUGGCAGUGUGAUGGUUUGGGCAAAAGGGAAAUUGGUGGUAUUGAGGGGAGAUUUGGAUGGCUCCCCUCGGCAGGCAGGCAGAUCAGUCCCACCCCAGCCCAUCAGACUAGGCUCCAUCCCCUCACCCCGGGCCUCUGCCACCUUGCACACCCAUGCACACACCUGCAAACUCUGCUGCAGCUCACACUCACCCCUCCAGCACAGCCUGCUUUCUCUUGUGUAAGAAGUGGCAGCUUCUGGCUUCCAGGGCCUCAUGAAGGGCUGGCCGAGCCUGGUUGAGGACGGAGAAGAGGAAAGACAGCCCCACAGGGCAGGGUGGCCCCUCACCUGCCUCCCUGCACCUGGGUCGCCCUCCAGGCUAAGGCUGCUGACACUGCGAAGACAAGGAGGCUGCACUGGGCCUGAGUCAACAAGGACCCUCCACUUGCUGGGCCACCGGCUGCUGCUCCCUGGAAGCAUCUGCUUCCCUCGGAAGCCGCGGGGCUUGGCUGCCAGGCUCGCUGCCUGCCAUUCCUCUGGCCCUGCACUCUGUCUCUGCCGCUCCAUCUGGCCGCUCUGCCAGCUCCUGGCCCAGCUCUCGGCCUCUAUUCCCUUCUCCCUUCCUUCCUCCUGAGCCUCCUUUCUCCCCUACUCUGCCCAGCCACAUUCGUGCUGCAGUCCCAGGCCUUCCUCCCCUCUGUCUUUAUCCAUCCUGCUUCCUUCCCCGUGUUCAGAUCCUCUCUCAUACAUAUUCAGUGGCUCCUUGAAAAAUCCACCUAGAUUAUUCUCCAUGCUUGCAGCCUAGACCUGCUUCAGGAAUAGCGAAUAAAACUUCUUACCCUCUAAUUCUA